AUAUUUAAAAUAACAUCAGUAACUUAAUGUGAAUGUACAUAGUAUUUAAAGAGGUCCAAAAAUGUGUUUGCCAAAUAACAGAAACCUUUAAAGUAAUGUACAAUGUCCAGAAUAUGAUUUCUUUCCAGUUCAUUUUUUAAUCAAAGGAAUUUUCAUUUCUCAUAAAUCCUUCUUUUCUACCAGAUUAGCAAAGUCUGUUGAGUGUGUAAUCUCAAAAAGAUGUUAUGAGGAGGGAUGUUGGCAGCGAUAGUGGUUCUCUUCUGGAGUCACAGUUCUUCUAGCUCCCCCUAUGAUUGAUGGCAGCGUACUCCACUGACUCCCUUCAAGAGGAGCCAGCUAUAGCUCUCAUGACAGGCCCAAGAGGAUGGUUUUAAAGAGGAGAAAGAGAGGCUUAUCACACAUUGAUUCUAAAAGCGUCCUAGCGUGAGGCUAAAUUACUCCACUACUCUGGAUAUUGGAUUCAAAACUGCAACAACUUGUGCCCAAAAAGUUAUCUGUAUCUGUGUGAAACAUUGCCAUCCAUUGGGCUGGAUUGCCACUGCAGUGGGCCACACUGAAAACCCUGUGGGCUGCCCUCAAAACAAAGCCAACACACUGGUCUGGAAGUCUGAAGCUUAACCUAACCGUGAUACUGCCCAAUCCUUUCACUGGUUAUUUUUUCUUACUCUGUCCAUAGAUUAGUUUGUGAAGAUGCAGUCUGAGUCAUUUUUCCUCGUGUAGCUUUAGGAUCCUAGCAAGGCAAGAAGUACUCAGAAACUGGGAGAGUUGGAACAGAUGUCUUCACAAUCAGACUAACAAGGAGGAAUGCCAUCUCAUACACCCUCUGCUCUUUAACCCCCACCUGGACAUCCCUCCUGUCUCCUGACCCACCACAAGCUACCUCCUGUGACGCUGCAGCACAUGACUGGGAGAGGUCACCGAGCUUUGGGAGCAGGGCUGCGAGCAGACAUGCAAACUCACACAAACAUCAGAGCAAAUAGGAAACAAACCCGAAAGAUCUAAUACAGAUAACUUUACAAUGUGUAUAUUUUCGCAGCUCAACUCUGUCAGUCAGAAAUAGGGAUCAAAUGAGGAACACUCAGAUGAUUUGGAUUCUAGACUCUCUACGUACACUACACUGUCCAGGGUUCGAUAUACAGAAAUUCCUUCCAUACCCCAGCUGAACGUUAAACCAUUACAUGCCAUUUGUAGUCCAAAACAAAUAAAAGCACAGACCAAAGUAUUUCUGCACGGCAGUGGAUUUUGAAAUUGUGUAGAGAAAGACCAGAAAUAAGGAGGCUUGAGGCCAACUAUACCUGUUAACCAAAGUGUCUGAAAUAAACACAU
rnacentral:lncRNA from 1 species